GGGCCACACACGUGCUACAAUGGCCACUACAAAGGGCUGCAAUACCGCGAGGUGGAGCUAAUCCCUAAAAAGUGGUCUCAGUUCGGAUUGGAGUCUGAAACUCGACUCCAUGAAGCUGGAAUUGCUAGUAAUCGCGCAUCAGCACGGCGCGGUGAAUACGUUCCCGGGCCUUGUACACACCGCCCGUCAAGCCAUGGAAGUUGGGGGUACCCGAAGUCGCCUUUAAAAAGCGCCGAAGGUAAAACCAGUGACUGGGGCU
rnacentral:rRNA from 1 species